CAAAGGCUCCCCCUCCCCAACCGUGAACGAUCGCCCCCAAAUCUCAGCUUCUCUCCUGGCAUUUCUGCUACCGCCGCGACGGAGGGGCCCUGGCACUUUGAUGAACAGUCCCGGGGAAGGAUUCAAGGCAGAGCUGCUGCUUUCG